rnacentral:rRNA from 1 species
UUCGACACACUAUCAUUAACUGAAUCCAUAGGUUAAUGAGGCGAACCGGGGGAACUGAAACAUCUAAGUACCCCGAGGAAAAGAAAUCAACCGAGAUUCCCCCAGUAGCGGCGAGCGAACGGGGAGGAGCCCAGAGCCUGAAUCAGUGUGUGUGUUAGUGGAAGCGUCUGGAAAGGCGCGCGAUACAGGGUGACAGCCCCGUACACAAAAAUGCACAUGCUGUGAGCUCGAUGAGUAGGGCGGGACACGUGGUAUCCUGUCUGAAUAUGGGGGGACCAUCCUCCAAGGCUAAAUACUCCUGACUGACCGAUAGUGAACCAGUACCGUGAGGGAAAGGCGAAAAGAACCCCGGCGAGGGGAGUGAAAAAGAACCUGAAACCGUGUACGUACAAGCAGUGGGAGCACGCUUAGGCGUGUGACUGCGUACCUUUUGUAUAAUGGGUCAGCGACUUAUAUUCUGUAGCAAGGUUAACCGAAUAGGGGAGCCGAAGGGAAACCGAGUCUUAACUGGGCGUUAAGUUGCAGGGUAUAGACCCGAAACCCGGUGAUCUAGCCAUGGGCAGGUUGAAGGUUGGGUAACACUAACUGGAGGACCGAACCGACUAAUGUUGAAAAAUUAGCGGAUGACUUGUGGCUGGGGGUGAAAGGCCAAUCAAACCGGGAGAUAGCUGGUUCUCCCCGAAAGCUAUUUAGGUAGCGCCUCGUGAAUUCAUCUCCGGGGGUAGAGCACUGUUUCGGCAAGGGGGUCAUCCCGACUUACCAACCCGAUGCAAACUGCGAAUACCGGAGAAUGUUAUCACGGGAGACACACGGCGGGUGCUAACGUCCGUCGUGAAGAGGGAAACAACCCAGACCGCCAGCUAAGGUCCCAAAGUCAUGGUUAAGUGGGAAACGAUGUGGGAAGGCCCAGACAGCCAGGAUGUUGGCUUAGAAGCAGCCAUCAUUUAAAGAAAGCGUAAUAGCUCACUGGUCGAGUCGGCCUGCGCGGAAGAUGUAACGGGGCUAAACCAUG